UUAAACUUUUGUUCCUUUAUUUAAUAGCCAGUGUCUCCAUUUGCCAAUUCUGUGAAAUCUGAUAUUUUCUCUAUUUAAAUAUAAAACUUUUGGCAGUACCUCUUGAUAACUUGAUAUCUACUAGCUUCGAAUAUUUUAAGCCAUGUUUCUUCCAUUCUUUUGGCAGCUUUUUCUUUUCUUUUUAUUAAUAAUUUCAGGAUGAGAGUGGUUGUAUGGCAGUGGCUGUAAGCAUGAAAUCACCUGGCCUUGUGCGGAAGACAUCUAUGAAUCGACCAACCAGAUGCAUACCUCUAAUUUAAACUCCUGAAAAUCCCCAUGGUUGUGGGUGGUGCAGACAGAAUGUGAGCCAGGAAGUACCUCUGUAAAAGCCCAGACAUUCCGUAUGUAGGAGUAUCUUCAUUCUUCAAGUGCAUCUAGGCUAAGAAGUUAACUUGGAUCUGUUUCACAGCGAGUCAUUGAUGAUCAACUAAGUAGUAGGAUACAGUUUUCUGAUCAGAUGAAAUCGCUUUAUCUUAUCUGGCUGGAAUUUAAAGAGCUGGGACUACCAUCAGGAAAAUCUACCGUGUAAUAACACUAACCCAGAACACUGCUGCUGAGUCUACCACACAGUAAAGCCGACUAGGAAAUGGCUAUUGAGUCUACCACACAGUAACACGAACCCAGAGCAUUGCUACUGUGUCUUCUAUACAGUAACACUAAUUCAGAACAUUGCUACUGACUCUACCACACAGUAAUGUGCACAAGGACAUUGCUGUUAUGAGUUUUCAUGCAGUAACACUGACUUUGAGUAAAAACACAUAGUAACACUCUUGAUACUGAAGGCUGGACUCUGCUGAACACUGGGAAAAAAGUGGAGAUAAACAUGCAACUCACUGUGUGUGACAUAGUGCAAAAAACUUUUGAAUGUGACCGUGAUAUAUAGACAUUAAAAUUAAUUUAAGUAACAUUCAAGUAAUGGUCAAAGGUGGUAGUGAAAACUCACUGAAUGUGAUGACUGUGAAAGAAAGACAGUUAUACCUACUAGUAAAAAUCUAUAAGAUUAGAUAUUAAAAUAAUGUUUAAAAGUGACAGUAGGUACAGUAAAAUGUGAAUAAUAUGUGAUUUGAUUGAUAAUGUCAAAUGAUAAAGGGUAACUCAUUGU